GGCCGCACACCUAAGAUCAGAAAAGAGAGAUGCCCCGCUCCUCUGUCCCCCACCCAACACUAGCCCCACAUAUUCGUCAACGCGGUUUCCACGAGGCCUUUGCCACUGCCCCUUGAUGCGAUGUCUGCACUUCCCACUCCUCGUGGGCACGUCGUUCCUCUCUCGGUUGUCCAGUCCUACCUUUGAUUACAACAGGUCAAUUAUGGAGAGCGGCGUACGGGAAUAGAAGGGUGUAUUUCUCUUGCCUUCAAAAAGAAGGUUCCAGAAAGCACUCGUGGCAGACGAGAGGACCCACAUGGCCUCCGCACAGGCAUGAGGUGUGUCCAGGGCCUUGCCCGCACCCGUGUGGACCGCCUUUCGCCCAUCAUUCCACCUAUAAAUCCCUUAUUUCAUGAAACCCUUCACAAGAUUUUUCUCUGAAUUUUCCACCACCGCAAGUUUCCAUUCCUAGGAGAACCAAUAUGAGGCCUAUUACGGCAAUCUACGGGAGGGGGAAUCCACCAUGGAAUGCUUCUACAUUACCUUAUUGCCUCCAUGACCAUGUGUGAGUAUUUUCCUUAGGACCUUUGGGUCCAUAGCAAUAUAUAUAUAUAAGACUCUCUCUCUCUCUCUCUCUCUCUCUUUUGUUCUUAAAUACCAAGUUUCUAUGAGCUGCCUCACAUGAUAAAGAUCAAUUUGAUGUAAUCGGUGGUGUCUUUGUUGGGAUAUGAUGAAUUUUCACUUUAUGAUCCGAUUUUUCAUUAAAAUCAAUUCAAUCUUUUGAA